CCUACCAAACAGUCACCACAGGGCUGGAAGAGCACAAAGGUGGCUUAGAGGGCAGCAGCAGCAAAUGAGGACUCACACGCUAAGGUGCUGCAGGAACAGCUGUGUGCUUUCAGGAAGCAGUUUUAACUCCUGCAAUUUGCAGCUCCACGACAUCUAUCUGCAUUGCACAGAAGUGAGGUGUGUAAAGCAUACCUUUGGGAUGGAUUUUCAGCACAGUGCCCCUUUGGCACAUCAAGAAUGAUCCAGAAAAGCACAGGAUUAUGAGCCUGAAGUUGAACAGGUCACUGAUAGGGAUUUUGAAAAGGAUACAUCCCAGGACAAAGAUGUGGCUAUCUCCAUGUGUAAGCAGCUUCCAAGAAGAGUACAAACAAACCCUUCCCUAAGAGUCUUUGAACCUGAUGGCCCAGCUGGUUCGGCCUCAGUUAUCCACUGAGUCAGACCUUAAGAACCCAGCUUGAAAGGAAUGAUGCUGAGACUGUAUCAUAAGCCUUGAUGAAGUCAAGGUAGAUAACACCUUUCUUUCUUCAUUCUCAGACCUGGCUGCAUCAUCUUAGAAGUUAAAAAUUGUCUAACAAUAGGCAAACCCAUAAAAUAUAUAUGACCUUUCUGUACUAUCUUGCUCCAACACUGAGUCACUUAGAUGAACAAAGUAAUAUUGGGUUCAUCUUCUUCCUGUUAUGAACCUGGUACACAAGCAAAGAGCUGACAUAAUGUCAAUUUCUGUAGUGAAUGAGGCAAUUUAUUUCACUAGAAGGCCACUCUGGAGACCCUGAAUCAUGGUUGCAGUACCUUCAACAGAACAUUUGUAUCCCUGUAUCUCAACAGUGGUGCUUUUUAAUGGAC